AGUGAACGCUGGCGGUAGGCCUAACACAUGCAAGUCGAACGGCAGCACAGUAAGAGCUUGCUCUUACGGGUGGCGAGUGGCGGACGGGUGAGGAAUACAUCGGAAUCUACUUUUUCGUGGGGGAUAACGUAGGGAAACUUACGCUAAUACCGCAUACGACCUACGGGUGAAAGCAGGGGAUCUUCGGACCUUGCGCGAUUGAAUGAGCCGAUGUCGGAUUAGCUAGUUGGCGGGGUAAAGGCCCACCAAGGCGACGAUCCGUAGCUGGUCUGAGAGGAUGAUCAGCCACACUGGAACUGAGACACGGUCCAGACUCCUACGGGAGGCAGCAGUGGGGAAUAUUGGACAAUGGGCGCAAGCCUGAUCCAGCUAUACCGCGUGGGUGAAGAAGGCCUUCGGGUUGUAAAGCCCUUUUGUUGGGAAAGAAAUCCAGCCGGCUAAUACCUGGUUGGGAUGACGGUACCCAAAGAAUAAGCACCGGCUAACUUCGUG
rnacentral:rRNA from 1 species